rnacentral:rRNA from 1 species
CAGAAGUGCGAAUGCUGACAUAAGUAACGAUAAAGCGGGUGAAAAGCCCGCUCGCCGGAAGACCAAGGGUUCCUGUCCAACGUUAAUCGGGGCAGGGUGAGUCGACCCCUAAGGCGAGGCCGAAAGGCGUAGUCGAUGGGAAACAGGUUAAUAUUCCUGUACUUGGUGUUACUGCGAAGGGGGGACGGAGAAGGCUAUGUUGGCCGGGCGACGGUUGUCCCGGUUUAAGCGUGUAGGCUGGUUUUCCAGGCAAAUCCGGAAAAUCAAGGCUGAGGCGUGAUGACGAGGCACUACGGUGCUGAAGCAACAAAUGCCCUGCUUCCAGGAAAAGCCUCUAAGCAUCAGGUAACAUCAAAUCGUACCCCAAACCGACACAGGUGGUCAGGUAGAGAAUACCAAGGCGCUUGAGAGAACUCGGGUGAAGGAACUAGGCAAAAUGGUGCCGUAACUUCGGGAGAAGGCACGCUGAUAUGUAGGUGAAGUCCCUCGCGGAUGGAGCUGAAAUCAGUCGAAGAUACCAGCUGGCUGCAACUGUUUAUUAAAAACACAGCACUGUGCAAACACGAAAGUGGACGUAUACGGUGUGACGCCUGCCCGGUGC